rnacentral:rRNA from 1 species
AGUGAACGCUGGCGGUAGGCCUAACACAUGCAAGUCGAACAGCAGCACAGUAAGAGCUUGCUCUUACGGGUGGCGAGUGGCGGACGGGUGAGGAAUACAUCGGAAUCUACUUUUUCGUGGGGGAUAACGUAGGGAAACUUACGCUAAUACCGCAUACGACCUACGGGUGAAAGCAGGCGCUCUUCGGACCUUGCGCGAUUGAAUGAGCCGAUGUCGGAUUAGCUAGUUGGCGGGGUAACGGCCCACCAAGGCGACGAUCCGUAGCUGGUCUGAGAGGAUGAUCAGCCACACUGGAACUGAGAGACGGUCCAGACUCGUACGGGAGGCAGCAGUGGGGAAUAUUGGACAAUGGGCGCAAGCCUGAUCCAGCCAUACCGCGUGGGUGAAGAAGGCCUUGGGGUGGUAAAGCACUUGGGUUGGGAAAGAAAAGCAGCAUGUUAAGACCCCGCUGUUCUGACGGUACCCAAAGAAUAAGCACCGGCUAACUUCGUG